UGGGGUGACCGACGAGGCUCGAACUCGCGACAACCAGUGCCACAAACUGGCGCUCUACCAACUGAACUACGGUCAC
rnacentral:tRNA from 1 species